rnacentral:rRNA from 1 species
CGUGGUGACCUGCGGAGGGAUCAUUACUGAGUGAGGGCUCCGGCCCGACCUCCAACCCUUUGUGAACCAACUUGUUGCUUCGGGGGCGACCCUGCCGUUCGCGGCGGCGGCGCCCCCGGAGGCCAUCAAACACUGCAUUUUUUACGUCGGAGUCUCAAGUAAAUUGAACAAAACUUUCAACAACGGAUCUCUUGGUACUGGCAUCGAUGAAGAACGCAGCGAAAUGCGAUAAGUAAUGUGAAUUGCAGAAUUCAGUGAAUCAUCGAAUCUUUGAACGCACAUUGCGCCCCCUGGUAUUCCGGGGGGCAUGCCUGUUCGAGCGUCAUUUCACCACUCAAGCCUGGCUUGGUAUUGGGCGUCGCGGGUUUCCGCGCGCCUUAAAGUCUCCGGCUGAGCUGUCUUGAACCCUAGCGUUGUGAAUCAUAUUCGCUAUGGGCGACGGACGGCCGCGGCCGUUAAAUCUUUCAAAGGUUGACCUCGGAUCAGGUAGGGAUACCCGCUGAACUUAAGCAUAUCAAUAAGCGGAGGAA